GUGGGGAAUAUUGCACAAUGGGGGAAACCCUGAUGCAGCAACGCCGCGUGAGUGAAGAAGUAUUUCGGUAUGUAAAGCUCUAUCAGCAGGGAAGAAGAUGACGGUACCUGAGUAAGAAGCCCCGGCUAACUACGUGCCAGCAGCCGCGGUAAUACGUAGGGGGCAAGCGUUAUCCGGAUUUACUGGGUGUAAAGGGAGCGUAGACGGUGAGACAAGUCUGAAGUGAAAGCCCGGGGCUCAACCCCGGGACUGCUUUGGAAACUGCCUGACUGGAGUGCUGGAGAGGCAAGCGGAAUUCCUAGUGUAGCGGUGAAAUGCGUAGAUAUUAGGAAGAACACCAGUGGCGAAGGCGGCUUGCUGGACAGUAACUGACGUUGAGGCUCGAAAGCGUGGGGAGCAAACAGG
rnacentral:rRNA from 1 species